rnacentral:rRNA from 1 species
ACUCCUACGGGAGGCAGCAGUAGGGAAUCUUCCACAAUGGGCGCAAGCCUGAUGGAGCAACACCGCGUGAGUGAAGAAGGGUUUCGGCUCGUAAAGCUCUGUUGUUAAAGAAGAACACGUAUGAGAGUAACUGUUCAUACGUUGACGGUAUUUAACCAGAAAGUCACGGCUAACUACGUGCCAGCAGCCGCGGUAAUACGUAGGUGGCAAGCGUUAUCCGGAUUUAUUGGGCGUAAAGAGAGUGCAGGCGGUUUUCUAAGUCUGAUGUGAAAGCCUUCGGCUUAACCGGAGAAGUGCAUCGGAAACUGGAUAACUUGAGUGCAGAAGAGGGUAGUGGAACUACCAUGUGUAGCGGUGGAAGUGCGUAGAUAUAUGGAAGAACACCAGUGGCGAAGGCGGCUACCUGGUCUGCAACUGACGCUGAGACUCGAAAGACAGU